AACAAACAAAAAAAAAAAGAAGGGCUCCUUUUUUCUCUGCUAGGGUUUCGAAACCCUAGCUUUUGCGCCGCCAUCGCCUGCCCACCGCUCUUCCACCAUGGACAGUGGUCGGAGUUUGGCAAAUCAAGGCCUUUAGCCCUUGUUUCAGCCCCACUUGAAAGCUAAGUAUACUUAGCCCACGAUUGGAAGAGGAAAUCUUUCCCCUCGUCCCCUUUCGAUUCUGUUUUUGAAGACGGAGAGAACUCCGACGACGUAACCGUGAGGCGAUUCAGGUAAGUUUCUUUCUUCUUCCUUUUUGUUUUCAUUUACAUAUAUAAAUAAAAUAUAAAGUAAUCAAUAAAAAAACAAAAACAAACAAGAACUUAAAACGAAGAUAAAAAACCUUUGAAGCUUUUCUCUUUUUUUUUUCUCCACCUGUAUAUGUAAUACACUUUUGUAUUAAAAAAAAGAAACCCCCCCUUUUACAUUUGGUUUCCUUUCGGCUUUAUAGCCGAUUACCAUAGAAAAUAUUUUCUGCUCUCUUCUCUUGUUUGUUGUUUUUUUGCUCUCUUUUCUUCUGCUUUGCGUGCUUUUUGCAGGUAACGUCAGAGUCGGUGAACAAAGGCGAUGGGAUAUAAAGUAAUCAAUAAAAAAACAAAAACGAACAAGAACUUAAAACGAAGAUAAAAAACCUUUGAAGCUUUUCUCUUUUUUUUUUCUCCACCUGUAUAUGUAAUACACUUUUGUAUUAAAAAAAAGAAACCCCCCCUUUUACAUUUGGUUUCCUUUCGGCUUUAUAGCCGAUUACCAUAGAAAAUAUUUUCUGCUCUCUUCUCUUGUUUGUUGUUUUUUUGCUCUCUUUUCUUCUGCUUUGCGUGCUUUUUGCAGGUAACGUCAGAGUAGGUGAGCAAAGGCGAUGGGACGGCGUCUGUUCGGGCGCAAAAUGCGCUGACACCAUGUAGGGGAGGGAGGCACGGCGCCUAGCAUAGGAACCCUAGGGUUUCUUCUUUUUUUCCUGAUAAAUUUGGGCUUUGGGUUUUAAUUUUUGGGUUAGGUUUAGUUGGGCUUUGGAUUGGGUUAUAGUUCGGGCUUUGUAUUUAGGCUGUGAAUUGUAAAAGAGCUGUUAACAAUUUUUUUAGUUUGGGAUUAGUCAGUCCGAGCAAAAAUUGGGCUCUACACACCUUAAUUCGACUGUCGACAUCAACACACCUCAUUUAUGGAGUAAUAAUUUGUGAUGAUUAAGUCACAAUAUAUAAAAAUUAUAUGUUGGGAGUCACCGACUUCUCUCCCGCUCUGUCUCUCGAUCUUUCUCUUUGUUUCUACUUCAUAGAAUAAAAAAUCAAGCUUAU
rnacentral:lncRNA from 1 species